AGUGAACGCUGGCGGUAGGCCUAACACAUGCAAGUCGAACGGCAGCACAGAGGAGCUUGCUCCUUGGGUGGCGAGUGGCGGACGGGUGAGGAAUACAUCGGAAUCUACUCUGUCGUGGGGGAUAACGUAGGGAAACUUACGCUAAUACCGCAUACGACCUACGGGUGAAAGCAGGGGACCUUCGGGCCUUGCGCGAUUGAAUGAGCCGAUGUCGGCUUAGCUAGUUGGCGGGGUAAAGGCCCACCAAGACGACGAUCCGUAGCUGGUCUGAGAGGAUGAUCAGCCACACUGGAACUGAGACACGGUCCAGACUCCUACGGGAGGCAGCAGUGGGGAAUAUUGGACAAUGGGCGCAAGCCUGAUCCAGCCAUACCGCGUGGGUGAUGAAGGCCUUCGGGUUGUAAAGCCCUUUUGUUGGGAAAGAAAUCCAGCUGGCUAAUACCCGGUUGGGAUGACGGUACCCAAAGAAUAAGCACCGGCUAACUUCGUGCCAGCAGCCGCAGUAA
rnacentral:rRNA from 1 species